rnacentral:lncRNA from 1 species
UCAAAUUAUCGGGCCCAAGUAGUACAGACGCUGCCGCUUGGUACUCGGGCGUGUUUUCACACCUCCGAGCGCGUGCACACCCACCCGCACCGCCGCAUGCUCAACCGGGCCACUUAUCUUACAGAAAGCUGGGCUACGAGAGACCACCACCACCGCCACGGCCCGCGCUGCGUCAGCCGACGAACCCACCGUGGCCACGCCCCCGGAGGCAUCGAGGGCAGCACAGUUGCGCCGCGCCGACGGUGCCGGACGAGCAGCCGACCGGCCGUCGACCAGUGGCUCCCACCGAGUCCAGGUUCCUCCCGCGGCGCCACCCAAAGGCGCAGCCGCGCGAGGUACCCCGGGCGGCGGCUGCGGCAAUCAUCAGACACUUCCAAGUUCCAACUGAACGUUAGGAUGCAUUUGAGCUGGCUACAAAAGAGCUACAGCAUACUGCUGUGUCCAGGCGUGAUGCCCCUGCAAUGCUUGUUUAUGGUCUUCUUAAAUCUUAAGCAUGUUGUAAAUACAUGGAUAGGAUACGACUGGUUAUUCUUCCUGUCUCUUGUCAAAGCUCAAGUUGAAAACUUUGCCACCGCACUUGGGUUGACAUCUCAACCUAAUUGCUAUUUGACACUGCUAACUUUGAGCACGCGAAAGGAAAUUUCUCCAGUCCAUGCUUGUGUAGUUAGCUACCCAGAGUGCAGACUUGGUGUACUGCACGAAUGGAGACAGGGUGGCGGCAUUGGAAACCAUAUUCUUUGUUCGAUGAUAUCCAAAAUCUUCACCAUCUGGAAGACAUACUAUCAGCAGACUAAGCAGCACGUCCAUAUCAUUUCCAGAAUCAUAUCAAGCAGGCUGCUGAGCGUGCGACGGGUUUUGCAGAAGCACAAGGCUGGUACACAGAGAAGACAUGAAAUGCUCGAGUUUCCGUGUUUACCACUACGAAAGAACACUAUUAGGACAGAGUGAUGCUCUUGAUGCGCAAAAAGCCGGGUGCUGCUUACUCCGUGCGAGUUGUGACAGGCACCUUUCAUGGACCAAUCGCCCAUCACCGAAUAACGUGGCAGCAGUCUCAGUGAGAAGGUUGGCAGGUUAUCACCGUGUCUCGUACUGACAAUUCAAGUUUCUGAAUUAACCUAUGCCCAUUUCUUCUGCAUCUAUAAAACCUUGUAAUUAAGAAGCUUUUGU